AUUGAACGCUGGCGGCAGGCCUAACACAUGCAAGUCGAACGAGUGGCGGAUGGGUGAGUAAUGUCUGGGAAACUGCCUGAUGGAGGGGGAUAACUACUGGAAACGGUAGCUAAUACCGCAUCCCAUCGGAUGUGCCCCGAUGGGAUUAGCUAGGAGGUGGGGUAACGGCUCACCUGGGCGACGAUCACUAGCUGGUCUGAGAGGAGGACCAGCCACACUGGAACUGAGACACGGUCCAGACUCCUACGUGAGGCAGCAGUGGGGAAUAUUGGACAAUGGGCGAAAGCCUGAUCCAGCCAUGCAGCGUGUGUGAAGAAGGUCUUCGGAUUGUAAAGCACUUUAAGUUGGGAGGCGUUACCAACAGAAUAAGCACCGGCUAACUUCGUGCCAGCAGCCGCGGUAAUAC
rnacentral:rRNA from 1 species